GACAGAGGAUGCAAGCGUUAUCCGGAAUGAUUGGGCGUAAAUCGUCUGUAGGUGGCUUUUUAAGUCUGCCGUCAAAUCCCAGGGCUUAACCCUGGACAGGCGGUGGAAACUACCAAGCUGGAGUACGGUAGGGGCAGGGGGAAUUUCCGGUGGAGCGGUGAAAUGCGUAGAGAUCGGAAAGAACACCAACGGCGAAAGCACUCUGCUGGGCCGACACUGACACUGAGAGACGAAAGCUAGGGGAGCGAAUGGG
rnacentral:rRNA from 1 species